rnacentral:lncRNA from 1 species
GGCCAUGUGGAGCUUGUUGCGGAGAGUGGAGUGGUGUCCGUUGUCGUGACUUGCGAGAGAGUGGUGGAGCUGCAUGGAAUCUGUUGCAGAGAGUGGAGCAGGGUGGCGGUUCUUGUCAUGGCUUGUCAGAGAGUGGUGGAGCCGCAUGGAAUCCGUUGCAGCGAAUGGAGUAAGGUAGUGGCCCUUGUCAUGGCUUGCCAAAGAGCUUGGAUCCGUCGGC